rnacentral:rRNA from 1 species
ACACCUUUGUUGCUUUGGCGGGCCCGCCUCGGCCACCGGCUCCGGCUGGUGAGCGCCCGCCAGAGGACCCCAAACUCUGAAAUUUAGUGUCGUCUGAGUACUAUAUAAUAGUUAAAACUUUCAACAACGGAUCUCUUGGUUCUGGCAUCGAUGAAGAACGCAGCGAAAUGCGAUAAGUAAUGUGAAUUGCAGAAUUCAGUGAAUCAUCGAAUCUUUGAACGCACAUUGCGCCCCUUGGUAUUCCGGGGGGCAUGCCUGUUCGAGCGUCAUUACAACCCUCAAGCUCUGCUUGGUAUUGGGCGUCCCCGGCGACGGGGUGCCCUAAAAUCAGUGGCGGUGCCGUCUGGCUCUAAGCGUAGUAAAUCUCUCGCUCUGGAUGCCCGGUGGAUGCUCGCCAGAACCCCCAUUUUUACAGGUUGACCU